CCUACGGGAGGCUGCAGUGGGGAAUUUUUGGCAAUGGGGGAAACCCUGACCAAGCAACGCCGCGUGGAUGAUGAAGUAUCUCGGUACGUAAAAUCCUUUCGACAGGGAAGCGGUACCUGUAGAAGAAGCCCCGGCUAACUCCGUGCCAGCAGCCGCGGUAAUACGGGGGGGGCAAGCGUUGUUCGGAAUUACUGGGCGUAAAGGGCGCGUAGGCGGUUUGCUAAGUUGGACGUGAAAACUCUGGGCUUAACCCAGAGACUGCAUUCAAAACUGGCAAGCUAGAGUAUUGGAGGGGGAAGCGGAAUUCCUGGUGUAGCAGUGAAAUGCGUAGAUAUCAGGAGGAACACCGGUGGCGAAGGCGGCUUCCUGGACAAACUGACGCUGAGGCGCGAAAGCUAGGGGAGCAAACAGGAUUAGAUACCCUUGUAGUC
rnacentral:rRNA from 1 species